GGCGACGAUCCCUAGCUGGUUNGAGAGGAUGACCAGCCACACUGGAAUGAGACACGGUCCAGACUCCUACGGGAGGCAGCAGUNNNGAAUAUUGCACAAUGGGCGCAAGCNUGAUGCAGCCAUGCCGCGUGUGUGAAGAAGGCCUUCGGGUNGUAAAGCACNUUCAGCNGGGAGGAAGGCGGUGAGGUUAAUAACCUCANCGAUUGACGUUACCCGCAGAAGAAGCACCGGCUAACUCCGUGCCAGCAGCCGCGGUAAUACGGAGGGUGCAAGCGUUAAUCGGAAUUACUGGGCGUAAAGCGCACGCAGGCGGUCUGUCAAGUCGGAUGUGAAAUCCCCGGGCUCAACCUGGGAACUGCAUUCGAAACUGGCAGGCUAGAGUCUUGUAGAGGGGGGUAGAAUUCCAGGUGUAGCGGUGAAAUGCGUAGAGAUCUGGAGGAAUACCGGUGGCGAAGGCGGCCCCCUGGACAAAGACUGACGCUCAGGUGNGAAAGCGUGGGGAGCAAACAGGAUUAGAUACCNUGGUAGUCCACGCUGUAAACGANGUCGAUUUGGAGGUUGUGCCCUUGAGGCGUGGCUUCCGGAGCUAACGCGUUAAAUCGACCGCCUGGGGAGUACGGCCGCAAGGUUAAAACUCAAAUGAAUUGACGGGGGCCCGCACAAGCGGUGGAGCAUGUGGUUUANUUNGAUGCAACGCGAAGAACCUUACCU
rnacentral:rRNA from 1 species